AAUAGAUACCCAGGUAGUCCACGCCGUAAACGAUGAGUGCUAAGUGUUAGAGGGUUUCCGCCCUUUAGUGCUGCAGCUAACGCAUUAAGCACUCCGCCUGGGGAGUACGGCCGCAAGGCUGAAACUCAAAGGAAUUGACGGGGGCCCGCACAAGCGGUGGAGCAUGUGGUUUAAUUCGAAGCAACGCGAAGAACCUUACCAGGUCUUGACAUCCUCUGACACUCCUAGAGAUAGGACGUUCCCCUUCGGGGGACAGAGUGACAGGUGGUGCAUGGUUGUCGUCAGCUCGUGUCGUGAGAUGUUGGGUUAAGUCCCGCAACGAGCGCAACCCUUGAUCUUAGUUGCCAGCAUUCAGUUGGGCACUCUAAGGUGACUGCCGGUGACAAACCGGAGGAAGGUGGGGAUGACGUCAAAUCAUCAUGCCCCUUAUGACCUGGGCUACACACGUGCUACAAUGGAUGGUACAAAGGGCAGCGAAGCCGCGAGGCUAAGCCAAUCCCAUAAAACCAUUCUCAGUUCGGAUUGC
rnacentral:rRNA from 1 species